GUCAAAAGUGCGCUCGAUUUAUGCGAAAAGUGGUAAAAAAGUUGGUGAAUCGUAAACGUUCACCGUUCUUCACUCUCCGCCCACUGUUCGCCAAAUCCAUAAUGCGGAGAUUCGUUGCUGAUAAAGCCAAAACUCUCAUCAAUAGGAGCAGGACCACCUGUUCGUCUUCUUUUCCUCCUCCUAUUAUUACUUCUACUUCCGUGUUGCAGCGGCUCACCUCUUCUUCUUCUUCUUCAUCUCAAUCAACUGCUGUUCUUCGUUUUUUAUCCACUUCUUCUGAUUCAAUGGCUUCCGAUUAUUCAUCCACUCCGGUCACUCUUAACAACGUUAACCCAAAGGUUUUGAAAUGUGAAUAUGCUGUCCGAGGAGAAAUAGUCAACCUUGCUCAGAAAUUACAACAAGACCUCAAGGAGAAUCCAGGCUCUCAUCCCUUUGAUGAGAUCUUAUACUGCAAUAUUGGAAAUCCUCAAUCCCUGGCUCAGCAGCCUAUUACUUUCUUUAGGGAGGUCCUUGCAUUAUGUGAUCAUCCACUUAUUUUGGACAAAAGUGAAACUCAAGGUUUGUUCAGUGCGGAUUCAAUAGAACGAGCUUUUCAGAUCCUCGACCAAAUUCCUGGUAGAGCAACAGGUGCAUACAGCCACAGUCAGGGUAUCAAAGGAUUA
rnacentral:misc_RNA from 1 species